CCUACGGGUGGCAGCAGUGGGGGAUAUUGCACAAUGGGGGAAACCCUGAUGCAGCGACGCCGCGUGUGGGAAGACGGUUCUCUGGAUUGUAAACCACUGUCCCCAGGGACGAAGAUGACGGUACUUGGGGAGGAAGCUCCGGCUAACUACGUGCCGGCAGCAGCGGGAAUACGUAGGGAGCGAGCGUUGUCCGGAAUUAUUGGGUGAAAAGGGAGCGUAGGCGGGGAGGCAAGUUGGGUGGCAAAACUACCGGCUCAACUGGUAGUCGCACUCAAAACUGCAGCUCUUGAGUGAAGUAGAGGCAGGCGGAAUUCCUAGUGUAGCGGUGAAAUGCGUAGAUAUUAGGAGGAACACCAGUGGCGAAGGCGGCCUGCUGGGCUUUUACUGACGCUGAGGCUCGAAAGUGUGGGGAGCAAACAGGAUUAGAUACCCGUGUAGUC
rnacentral:rRNA from 1 species